GUGGCGAGCGGCGGACGGGUGAGUAAUGCCUAGGAAUCUGCCUGGUAGUGGGGGAUAACGCUCGGAAACGGACGCUAAUACCGCAUACGUCCUACGGGAGAAAGCAGGGGACCUUCGGGCCUUGCGCUAUCAGAUGAGCCUAGGUCGGAUUAGCUAGUUGGUGAGGUAAUGGCUCACCAAGGCGACGAUCCGUAACUGGUCUGAGAGGAUGAUCAGUCACACUGGAACUGAGACACGGUCCAGACUCCUACGGGAGGCAGCAGUGGGGAAUAUUGGACAAUGGGCGAAAGCCUGAUCCAGCCAUGCCGCGUGUGUGAAGAAGGUCUUCGGAUUGUAAAGCACUUUAAGUUGGGAGGAAGGGCAGUUACCUAAUACGUGAUUGUUUUGACGUUACCGACAGAAUAAGCACCGGCUAACUCUGUGCCAGCAGCCGCGGUAAUACAGAGGGUGCAAGCGUUAAUCGGAAUUACUGGGCGUAAAGCGCGCGUAGGUGGUUUGUUAAGUUGAAUGUGAAAUCCCCGGGCUCAACCUGGGAACUGCAUCCAAAACUGGCAAGCUAGAGUAUGGUAGAGGGUGGUGGAAUUUCCUG
rnacentral:rRNA from 1 species